GAUCCUGGCUCAGGAUGAACGCUAGCUACAGGCUUAACACAUGCAAGUCGAGGGGCAGCGAGAGUGUAGCAAUACACUUGUCGGCGACCGGCGCACGGGUGAGUAACGCGUAUCCCAACCUGGCCCUUAGGUAGGGGAUAGCCCGGCGAAAGUCGGAUUAAUACCCUAUGUUCUCCUUUGAGAGCAUUUGAUGAGGAGCAAAGAUUUAUCGCGUAGGGGAUGGGGAUGCGUCCGAUUAGGCAGCAGGCGGGGUGACGGCCCACCUGGCCGACGAUCGGUAGGGGUUCUGAGAGGAACGGUCCCCCACACUGGUACUGAGACACGGACCAGACUCCUACGGGAGGCAGCAGUGAGGAAUAUUGGUCAAGUGGGCGCGAGCCUACGAACCAGCCAAGUAGCGUGGAGGGACGACCGGCCCGUACGGGUUAGUAAACCUUCUUUUGCCGGGGAAUAAAGUGCGGGACGCGUCCCGUUUUGUAUGUACCCGGAGAAUAAGGACCGGCUAAUUCCGUGCCAGCCGCCGC
rnacentral:rRNA from 1 species